UUGAUACAUUCACGAACGGAAUAACCAACAUUUCACUCCGCGCAGAUCGUUCUCGAGAAAUGUAAACUCGGCACAGUCUCCCUGCUAGUUAAGCUGCGGUAUCAGCAGCCGAACAUCUGGAGGUUAUAGGCGGCGGCAGUUGAGAGGAGGUGCCUCACCCUCGGGGUCUGCAGGUUGCUCCAGCGCCAGACACGGCUCGCGAUGUCAGGUGAGGACAAUAAAGAGGCGGCUUUGCCAAAGAGCACGACGCAGGCAUCGUUAUUGCGAUAAAACGCGAUUAAAGUUGCAGGCCCGAGGAAAGAGAUGCUGGCGAAAGCGGCGUGGGAGACGGCCCUGUAUGAGCGACAGCGCUUCGUACCAUUCCCACCGCACCAACAUGAGUAUGUGACCGAGUACAGACGUCAGUUCAACCCUCGG